CCUACGGGAGGCAGCAGUGGGGAAUAUUGCACAAUGGGGGAAACCCUGAUGAAGCGACGCCGCGUGAGUGAAGAAGUAAUUCGUUAUGUAAAGCUCUAUCAGCAGGGAAGAAAAUGACGGUACCUGAGUAAGAAGCCCCGGCUAACUACGUGCCAGCAGCCGCGGUAAUACGUAGGGGGCAAGCGUUAUCCGGAUUUACUGGGUGGAAAGGGAGCGUAGACGGCAGUGCAAGUCUGGAGUGAAAGGCGGGGGCUCAACCCCCGGACUGCUCUGGAAACUGUAUGGCUGGAGUGCAGGAGAGGUAAGUGGAAUUCCUAGUGUAGCGGUGAAAUGCGUAGAUAUUAGGAGGAACACCAGUGGCGAAGGCGGCUUACUGGACUGUAACUGACGUUGAGGCUCGAAAGUGUGGGGAGCAAACAGGAUUAGAUACCCGAGUAGUC
rnacentral:rRNA from 1 species